rnacentral:rRNA from 1 species
AUUGAACGCUGGCGGCAGGCCUAACACAUGCAAGUCGAACGAGUGGCGGACGGGUGAGUAAUGUCUGGGAAACUGCCUGAUGGGGGGGGAUAACUACUGGAAACGGUAGCUAAUACCGCAUACUAUCAGAUGUGCCCAGAUGGGAUUAGCUAGUGGGUGGGGUAACGGCUCACCAAGGCGACGAUCCCUAGCUGGUCUGAGAGGAUGACCAGCCACACUGGAACUGAAACACGGUCCCGCCUCCUACGGGAGGCAGCGUUGGGGAUUAUUGCACAAUGGGCGCAAUCCUGAUGCAGCCAUGCCGCGUGUAGGAAGAAGGCCUUCGGGUUGUAAAGUACUUUCAGCGGGGAGGCGUUACCCGCAGAAGAAGCACCGGCUAACUCCGUGCCAGCAGCCGCGGUAAUAC